rnacentral:rRNA from 1 species
GACGAACGCUGGCGGCGUGCUUAACACAUGCAAGUCGAGCGAAGUAUUCAAGAUAGAUUUCUUCGGAUUGAAGUCUUGAAUAUCUUAGCGGCGAACGGGUGAGUAACGCGUGAGAAACCUGCCUUUCACAAAGGGAUAGCCUCGGGAAACUGGGAUUAAUACCUUAUGAUACUUACAUUUCACAUGAGAAGUAAGUUAAAGCGCAAAGCGGUGAAAGAUGGUCUCGCGUCCCAUUAGUUAGUUGGUGAGGUAACGGCUCACCAAGACCGCGAUGGGUAGCCGGCCUGAGAGGGUGAACGGCCACACUGGAACUGAGACACGGUCCAGACUCCUACGGGAGGCAGCAGUGGGGAAUAUUGCACAAUGGAGGAAACUCUGAUGCAGCGACGCCGCGUGAGUGAAGAAGGCCUUGGGUCGUAAAACUUUGUCCUAGGGGACGAUAAUGACGGUACCCUAGGAGGAAGCCCCGGUAACUACGUGCCAGCAGCCGCGGUAAGCAUACUCGUAC